rnacentral:rRNA from 1 species
UACGUAGGUGGCGAGCGUUGUCCGGAUUUACUGGGUGUAAAGGGCGCGUAGGCGGGCGAGCAAGUCAGUCGUGAAAUACCGAGGCUCAACUUCGGAGCUGCCAUUGAAACUGUUCAUCUUGAGUGCCGGAGAGGAAAGCGGAAUUCCUAGUGUAGCGGUGAAAUGCGUAGAUAUUGGGAGGAACACCGGUGGCGAAGGCGGCUUUCUGGACGGUAACUGACGCUGAGGCGCGAAAGUGUGGGGAGCAAAC